GACGAACGCUGGCGGCGUGCCUAAUACAUGCAAGUUGAGCGCUGAAGGUUGGUACUUGUACCGACUGGAUGAGCAGCGAACGGGUGAGUAACGCGUGGGGAAUCUGCCUUUGAGCGGGGGACAACAUUUGGAAACGAAUGCUAAUACCGCAUAAAAACUUUAAACACAAGUUUUAAGUUUGAAAGAUGCAAUUGCAUCACUCAAAGAUGAUCCCGCGUUGUAUUAGCUAGUUGGUGAGGUAAAGGCUCACCAAGGCGAUGAUACAUAGCCGACCUGAGAGGGUGAUCGGCCACAUUUGGACUGAGACACGGCCCAAACUCCUACGGGAGGCAGCAGUAGGGAAUCUUCGGCAAUGGACGAAAGUCUGACCGAGCAACGCCGCGUGAGUGAAGAAGGUUUUCGGAUCGUAAAACUCUGUUGGUAGAGAAGAACGUUGGUGAGAGUGGAAAGCUCAUCAAGUGACGGUAACUACCCAGAAAGGGACGGCUAACUACGUG
rnacentral:rRNA from 1 species